rnacentral:rRNA from 1 species
UACGUAGGUGGCAAGCGUUGUUCGGAUUUACUGGGCGUAAAGCGCACGUAGGCGGAUCGUUAAGUCGGGGGUGAAAUCCUGGAGCUCAACUCCAGAACUGCCUUCGAUACUGGCGAUCUCGAGUCCGGAAGAGGUGAGUGGAACUCCUAGUGUAGAGGUGGAAUUCGUAGAUAUCCGGAGGAACACCAGUGGCGAAAGCGGCCACCUGGACUGUACCUGACGCUCAAACGCGAAAGCUAGGGGAGCGAACGGG